rnacentral:rRNA from 1 species
GACGAACGCUGGCGGCGUGCUUAACACAUGCAAGUCGAGCGGUAAGGCCCUUUCGGGGGUACACGAGCGGCGAACGGGUGAGUAACACGUGGGUGACCUGCCCUCAGCUCUGGGAUAAGCCUGGGAAACUGGGUCUAAUACUGGAUAUGACUCCACGGUGCAUGUCGUGGGGUGGAAAGCCUUGUGCGGCUGAGGAUGGGCCCGCGGCCUAUCAGCUUGUUGGUGGGGUGANGGCCUACCAAGGCGACGACGGGUAGCCGGCCUGAGAGGGCGACCGGCCACACUGGGACUGAGACACGGCCCAGACUCCUACGGGAGGCAGCAGGUGGGGAAUCUUGCGCAAUGGGCGAAAGCCUGACGCAGCGACGCCGCGUGAGGGAUGACGGCCU